GCUUCGGGAGAAGGUUUGUGGAGGAAUCGCCUCAGCAGUAGGGCUUCACAAGACCCAUCCCCAGGGCACUGAGUAAGCAAAACGGAAGGAACUUCUAGCAAAGGCACACGAGUCCCAGAUACCAGCUCUGCAGGGACACGCAGGUUCGUCUGUACGCAUGUCCCCCCUCUACCUCUGUAAGUCUCCAGCGUGAGCCUCCCUUCGAGCUCCGAAGUGAAAAGCAACCCAUCAAAAACACUUGGCAGUGUGUCAGCGUGUGGAAUCGUGGAGGUCUACGAAGGCAUAAUAUACUUGGCUUGCUGAAAUCAUCACGGCAGCUGCAACUCUACACCGAAGGACCGCGUAGAAACACUGACCGAAGGACCGCGUAGAAAAUUGUCAAUUUUCCAAU